UCUGCGCACGUAGCCCAUCUUCUGGAAGCUCUUCAGGAGGAGGUCGUCUGAGAGCACGCCUUUCAGCACGUGCACGUAGCCCCCGGAGAAGGUCUGCAAGGGAGCGGCCAGGUUCAAGCGAUCUUCCUGCCUCAGCCUCCUGAGUAGCUGGGAUUACAGUCUUGCAGACAAGGACGGAAGCUGUAACGUUCAUUCCUCCUGCUGUGUAGUAUUCCACCAUGGGGGUGACACGUCUGUUUUCAGCGCUCUCCAGAGGCUGUCCAUGCACUGGGCUGACAGCCGUGGGACGGUAGAAGGAGACGGGGUUUCACCAUGUUGGUUAGGCUGGUGUCAAUCUCCUGACCUCGUGAUCUGCCCACCUCGGCCUCCCAAAGAGCUGGGAUUACAGGCGUGAGUCACCGCGCCCGGCCUGGGUGAGUGCUUUCUGGCCUACACUUAGGUGAAGAACUAAAGGAGCUCAGGACAAUCACUGCGAGCAUCUCCUGACUCUCAAAUUCCCUAACUCCGGGACUCCUAGCAUCUAAUGCCUGGACACGGCCCACGUGUGGAGCGCCCAGUGCCUGCAGCACUGAGCUCGGGGCUUCGAUUCAUUCCUCUGGCUCCAUGAACUGGACUGUUCCCGUGUCGCUGUCUCAGAGGAGGAAAGGGGCUGACAGAGAUUAGCUAAUUUGGCCAAGUCCUCGCGGCCAGGAGGCAGCAGAACUAGGUCCAAACCAGGGCUGUCCGGCACUGAAGCCGGUUAUUCCCCCGCCCCGCCCCCUGGGAGGCCUCAAGGGCGGGCCUGUCCGUCCUCUCUCAUGAAUGAAAGUCCUGGCGCCUCCG